GAUGAACGCUAGCGGCAGGCUUAACACAUGCAAGUCGAGGGGCAGCGAGGAGUAGCAAUACUCUGUCGGCGACCGGCGAAAGGGUGAGUAACGCGUGAGCAACAUGCCCGUAGGUGGAGGAUAGUCAUUGGAAACGAUGCGUAAUACUCCGUAACAACAGGGACCGCAUGAUCCUUGUUUAAUAGAUUGAUUGCCUACGGAUUGGCUCGCGUACCAUUAGGUAGUUGGUGAGGUAACGGCCCACCAAGCCGACGAUGGUUAGGGGUUCUGAGAGGAAGGUCCCCCACAUUGGAACUGAGACACGGUCCAGACUCCUACGGGAGGCAGCAGUGAGGAAUAUUGGUCAAUGGCCGGAAGGCUGAACCAGCCAUGCCGCGUGCGGGAUGACGGCCCUAUGGGUUGUAAACCGCUUUUGUGUGGGAGCAAUAAGGCUCACGUGUGAGUUGAUGAGAGUACCAUACGAAUAAGCAUCGGCUAACUCCGUGCCAGCAGCCGCGGUAAUACGGAGGAUGCAAGCGUUAUCCGGAUUUAUUGGGUUUAAAGGGUGCGUAGGCGGGCUGUUAAGCGUGAGGUGAAAUGCCACGGCUCAACCGUGGGACUGCCUCGCGAACUGGUAGUCUUGAAUGCCCCUGCCGUGGGAGGAAUGUGUGGUGUAGCGGUGAAAUGCAUAGAGAUCACACAGAACACCGAUUGCGAAGGCAUCUCACGAAGGGGUGAUUGACGCUGAGGCACGAAAGCGUGGGGAUCAAACA
rnacentral:rRNA from 1 species